rnacentral:lncRNA from 1 species
CAUGAAUGCAAUUUUAUUGCAUCAUAUUCGCAUCUUGUUAAGUAAUGCCUUGGUAGCGAUUCUCGAGUUCAAAAUUAAAAAAAAAACAUAUUCUAUUUGAAAACUUAUCAUAAGAACGAUCUAUUCAUGUUUUUUUUUUUUUUUAUUGUUUUCCAUGUUUUCAAACCACUUCUCCCGAAGCAAUGUGUUGCCUAUCAAUGCCUAAAUUUUCCCUAAUUAUUCACCGGAGCCUUUUUACGACACUAAAUACGUAUC